UACUUUGGUUGUCAGAUCGUCUUUUGG
rnacentral:sRNA from 1 species